GACGAACGCUGGCGGCGUGCCUAAUACAUGCAAGUAGAACGCUGACGGAGGAGCUUGCUUCUCCGGAUGAGUUGCGAACGGGUGAGUAACGCGUAGGUAACCUGCCUUGUAGCUUGGGAGAACUAUUGGAAACGAUAGCUAAUACCGCAUAAGAGUAGACGUUGCAUGACAUUUGCUGAAAAUUUGCACUUGCAUCACUACCAUAUGGCCCUGCGUUGUAUUGGCUAGUUGGGGAGGUAACGGCUCACCAAAGCGGCGCUACAUAACCGGCCUGAGAGGGUGAUCGGCCAAACUGGGACUGGGACACGGCCCAGACUUCUACGGGAGGCAGCAGUAGGGGAACUUUGGCAAUGGACGGAAGUCUGACCGAGCAACGCCGGGUGAGUGAAGAAGGUUUUCGGAUCGUAAAGCUCUGUUGGAAGGGAAGGACGAGUGUGAGAGUGGAAAGUUCACGCUGUGACGGUAUCUUAAGAGAAAGGAACGGCUAACUACGUG
rnacentral:rRNA from 1 species